GCCCAGGUGGUGAAAUGGUAGACACGCAGGUUUCAGAAGCCUGUUCCGCAAGGUGUGAGGGUUCGAGUCCCUCCUUGGGCACCA
rnacentral:tRNA from 1 species